GUUAAAAAGCUCGUAGUUGGAUUUCUGGGAAGGCGCCAAUGCUAGCUUCUUGCUUUCGCAACGGCACCUUUCCAUCCUUCUGUUAGCGCCUCUUGGCAUUCAUUUGCUGGUGGCGGGCUCAGAUAUUUUACCUUGAGAAAAUUAGAGUGUUUCAGGCAGGCUACGCCGGAAUACAUUAGCAUGGAAUAAUGGAAUAGGACUGAGGUCUCUUUGUUGGUUUGAGGGACUCCAGUAAUGAUUAAUAGGGACAGUUGGGGGCAUUAGUAUUUA
rnacentral:rRNA from 1 species